ACCAACCCGAUGCAAACUGCGAAUACCGGAAAAUGUUAUCACGGRRGACACACGGCGGGUGCUAACGUCCGUCGUGAAGAGGGAAACAACCCAGACCGCCAGCUAAGGUCCCAAAGUCAUGGUUAAGUGGGAAACGAUGUGGGAAGGCCCAGACAGCCAGGAUGUUGGCUUAGAAGCAGCCAUCAUUUAAAGAAAGCGUAAUAGCUCACUGGUCGAGUCGGCCUGCGCGGAAGAUGUAACGGGGCUAAACCAUGCACCGAAGCUGCGGCAGCGACGCUGAUGCGUUGUUGGGUAGGGGAGCGUUCUGUAAGCCUGCGAAGGUGACCUGUGAGGGUUGCUGGAGGUAUCAGAAGUGCGAAUGCUGACAUAAGUAACGAUAAAGCGGGUGAAAAGCCCGCUCGCCGGAAGACCAAGGGUUCCUGUCCAACGUUAAUCGGGGCAGGGUGAGUCGACCCCUAAGGCGAGGCCGAAAGGCGUAGUCGAUGGGAAACGGGUUAAUAUUCCCGUACUUGGUGUUACUGCGAAGGGGGGACGGAGAAGGCUAUGUUGGCCGGGCGACGGUUGUCCCGGUUUAAGCGUGUAGGUGUGUGUUCCAGGUAAAUCCGGUUCACUUUAACACUGAGGCGUGACGACGAGGCACUACGGUGCUGAAGCAACAAAUGCCCUGCUUCCAGGAAAAGCCUCUAAGCAUCAGGUAACAUCAAAUCGUACCCCAAACCGACACAGGUGGUCAGGUAGAGAAUACCAAGGCGCUUGAGAGAACUCGGGUGAAGGAACUAGGCAAAAUGGUGCCGUAACUUCGGGAGAAGGCACGCUGACACGUAGGUGAAGUGAUUUACUCAUGGAGCUGAAGUCAGUCGAAGAUACCAGCUGGCUGCAACUGUUUAUUAAAAACACAGCACUGUGCAAACACGAAAGUGGACGUAUACGGUGUGACGCCUGCCCGGUGCCGGAAGGUUAAUUGAUGGGGUCAGCGCAAGCGAAGCUCCUGAUCGAAGCCCCGGUAAACGGCGGCCGUAACUAUAACGGUCCUAAGGUAGCGAAAUUCCUUGUCGGGUAAGUUCCGACCUGCACGAAUGGCGUAAUGA
rnacentral:rRNA from 1 species